AGAGUUUGAUCCUGGCUCAGGAUGAACGCUGGCGGCGUGCUUAACACAUGCAAGUCGAACGAUGACUUUUGUGCUUGCACAAAAUGAUUAGUGGCGAACGGGUGAGUAACACGUGAGUAACCUGCCCUUAACUUCGGGAUAAGCCUGGGAAACCGGGUCUAAUACCGGAUACGACGGAUUCCCGCAUGGGGGUCCGUGGAAAGCUUGAUGCGGUUUUGGAUGGACUCGCGGCCUAUCAGCUGGUUGGUUGGGGUAAUGGCCCACCAAGGCGACGACGGGUAGCCGGCCUGAGAGGGUGACCGGCCACACUGGGACUGAGACACGGCCCAGACUCCUACGGGAGGCAGCAGUGGGGAAUAUUGCACAAUGGGCGAAAGCCUGAUGCAGCGACGCCGCGUGAGGGACGAAGGCCUUCGGGUUGUAAACCUCUUUCAGCAGGGAAGAAGCGAAAGUGACGGUACCUGCAGAAGAAGCGCCGGCUAACUACGUGCCAGCAGCCGCGGUAAUACGUAGGGCGCAAGCGUUAUCCGGAAUUAUUGGGCGUAAAGAGCUCGUAGGCGGUUUGUCGCGUCUGCUGUGAAAGCCCGGGGCUCAGCCCCGGGUCUGCAGUGGGUACGGGCAGACUAGAGUGCAGUAGGGGAGACUGGAAUUCCUGGUGUAGCGGUGAAAUGCGCAGAUAUCAGGAGGAACACCGAUGGCGAAGGCAGGUCUCUGGGCUGUAACUGACGCUGAGGAGCGAAAGCAUGGGGAGCGAACAGGAUUAGAUACCCUGGUAGUCCAUGCCGUAAACGUUGGGCACUAGGUGUGGGGGACAUUCCACGUUUUCCGCGCCGUAGCUAACGCAUUAAGUGCCCCGCCUGGGGAGUACGGCCGCAAGGCUAAAACUCAAAGGAAUUGACGGGAGCCCGCACAAGCAGUGGAGUAUGUGGUUUAAUUCGACGCAACGCGAAGAACCUUACCGGAGCUUGACAUCCUCAGAAGACUGGGUAAUGCCGGUUGUGCCCUUCGGGGAACUGAGAGACAGGUGGUGCAUGGUUGUCGUCAGCUCGUGUCGUGAGAUGUUGGGUUAAGUCCCGCAACGAGCGCAACCCUUAUGUUUAGUUGCUACGCAAGAGCACUCUAGACAGACUGCCGUUGACAAAACGGAGGAAGGUGGGGACGACGUCAAAUCAUCAUGCCCCUUACGCCCCGGGCUACACACGUACUACAAUGGUGAGAACAAAGAGAAGCGAGACCGCGAGGUGGAGCUAACCUCAUAAAAAUCAUCCCAGUUCGGACUGCAGGCUGCAACCCGCCUGCACGAAGUUGGAAUUGCUAGUAAUCGCGAAUCAGCAUGUCGCGGUGAAUACGUUCCCGGGCUUUGUACACACCGCCCGUCAAG
rnacentral:rRNA from 1 species